CGGGCUCGCUGGGUGAGGCCGCAACUUGGGAGAGCGGGAGGAUAUUUAUUUUUUUUUGACCUCCUCCCUCCCCCCCGCACGCACCGGCAUACAUACACGCACGCCACCCCUUUCUCCUCCCUCCGCGGCGCAAAUUGGGCUGCUCUCCAGGGGAGGAGCGAGGGGGCGGGGGCCGCGUCCAAAGCUCGGCCGCCCCCCCUCCCCGCCGCCCAAAAGCACCCAAGCGAUCAAAGAAGCGAAAAACACAAUCCUGAGCCCACCCCAAACUCUGCGAUGCCCGGAGAAACUGCCAAGUGACUCAAACUCUGGCUGCGAAGGGAAGCGCCCCCCCCGGCCCGGCUUCCCCCCCCUCCUCCUCGCUUUUGCAACUCUGCGGCGCCGGGGUCUGCUUCACCCCGGGGGGGGGGGUGUGUGUGUGGGGGGUGUUUCUAUAUGUGUGUGUGUGUGUGUGUGUGUGUGUGUGUGUGUGUAUGUGUGUGUGUGUGUGUGUGUGUGUGUGCCGGAGAGUCCAGGGCGGGGGACCCGGCGGCGCCAGGCACCAAAGUUGAGCCCCCUCCUCCGGCCUCGUUGGGAGGCUUUGCAAGACUUCGCAACCCGCAAGAGGAGGAGGAGGAGGAGGAGGAGGAAGAAGCAGCAGCAGCAGCCCCCAGGCCCAGAGAGGGGCCGCCUGCUCUUGUCCUGCCCGGCUCGCUUCUCCUCUAGGCAGAAGGCGCCGCUGCCGUAACUCCGGCUGGCGACUUUGCUGCUGAGCUGAAACUGCUAAUUUCUGUGACCAGCUUUUUUCUUAGCUGUGAUCUGGAUGAAUGAGUAGCUGUCUCGCAGAGAUGACAAAAAUAAACUCUAAUCCCCCCCAAAAUUUCCACUACAUCUUUCUCAUGCAUAGAUUUAUGAUCUUCAAGCGCCCUGUGCAAUAUGCAAACUUUUUGCGGCCUCCACUGAGACCUCACGGAAGUGCCAGUGUAGAGACUUGUAGCAAAGAGGUCAAUACUGCAAAAAGAAGUGGGGCCCAUCUUGCAAUUAAAGGAAGAGGCUCUCCUGCAGAGAAGGUCUGCAUCAAGAAAAUCUAAGCCCUUUCUGAAUACGCAUGCUUUUGAUGCAGCACUGACAGGAGUAGCAAGAGGGCUGGAAUUUGUCUUUUUGGCCCAGCAUGAAGCAAGAAAAGCAUGUACUGCCAUGCACAAGACAGAAGAGCUAUUGCUUCUCCCUACAGCACCAGCUGUAGAGAUCUUUUCCUGCAUUCAGGAGAUACCUUCAUCUGUCUGCGUGCGACUGCCAACCUGAGGAAUGGAAGGAAAAAUGAGUCUGCCUCUGACUACUUGUUCCCAUGGCAGAGCAGACCUGGAGGUUAUCCCAGCCACUGCUGCAACGUUACAGGUCUCAGGAGCACUGAGCUGCCGCGGCCACAGCGAGCACUGCUUACCAGAGACCGCCACGUUCGUUCCUACUGAAUCCGCUUGGAAAAACUGCUGCUGGGAGGGGACGUCAGCUGUAAAUGCUACCAGGGGCGCUUGGAGAAAGAAGGGAGACCCUGAUUUGAGCUUCCCAGGGUUUUGUGGAUCACCGUCAAACUCAUUUCCUCCAGACUUCACUUAAAAAAGAAUUCUCUGGAAACUGAUGUUUGUGCACCCACAGUUCUGAAAUUCUAGCAAGAAAGAUGUAGCCCAGGCGUUGUUGCUGCUGUUGCACUUGUUCCUGCUCCUUUUACAUCUUCCUCUCUGCUUCCCUGUCUACUCGACAAGUAAUUCCACACAGGUAUGCAUGGUCUUGCACUCUCCCCACUAAUUUUUUAGAGUGGUUUAUGGGCUCAUGGAAAUUUGGAUCAUUAUCACAGGCCUGAAAUUUCCACUAAGUUUCGUGAUUUUUGUGAACAGUGUGAACCACCUCCUCAGACCAGCUUACAGCAAAGCCUAGUAGGGUGCCCACAAGCGCCAGCAGGGCGUGCAAAUCAGUCCCGCAGCAGCUGCAGGGAGAGGCAGUCUGCUGCGGGAGCUGGGGGAUGCUGGGUGCUUGGCAGGUGCUGAAAUGUUUAAGAGAGAGAGGAUUCAUGCAAUAUGCUUCAGUUCCAAUCAGAGCUGUCCUCUCCCACCAUGAUCAGGGGUCAGUUAGGAGCCAAGGAGUCUCAGUGAUGAGUGAAGCCCCUAAAGGGACCGGUAUUGCUGAUGUUUGGAUGCCUUAAUACCCCAGCCCCAAAUUGCAAGGUCCCCAUCUACAACUUGGGUCGCUUGGUAGACCUGACUUGGGCUGGGUUCAUUUUUGCAACAUGUAACUGGAAAAAAUCAAUUGUUUUUCAUCUUUCUCUUUGAAACCAAAUAUACAAUUUCUGCCACUCCACAACUUAAGUGCCUGAUUCCUCUCUGAUCCGUACCACUUUACUCCUGCGUAAGACUCUGUUGAAUACAAUAGUGUUCCUAAUUCCCAUGGUAGCAAUACGGUCCAGAAAAUAGUCAUGAUCCUCCCUGGUCUGUUCCUGGCUUUGGCCUCCACUGUGGGAACCUGACUCACAGUGGAGCUUAAUAUACAAUUAUUGGGCUUAAUAUAUGAUUCAGCCAGUAAAAUUCCUUCAGACUGUGAAAACCAGAAGCCAGCUGUCUUCAGUAUUCAUCCCCGUGUGGUUUUGGCAUUUUGCUGGAGGUUCACUGAUGUGACAACUGGUGCGUUUCCAAAAAGCCCUUUUCCCAUUUUCAGCAGUCUUGUGUUCUGAAGCUAUCUAGUGAAAACGGAGUAUAAAAUUCAUAGUUGAAGAAAAAAAGUCACUUAAAUUGGUCCUUUCCAAGGUUUUGAGACUGUCUGUGAGUCAUCAGUCCAGCAUAAGAAAACUCAGCAUUUUAUCUUCAGCUUAAGCAUGCUUGCAAAUCAGAAGAGUUUUAUUGGAGCUUGGGUGCUAGAAAUUGGGCCUAGUUUGAAAUCUGGAACAUGGAAAACACCCUGGUACCUUGAGCUGCCCACUUUGCGAGGCUGAACUGAAAAAGGUGAUCCAAACCUUUCUGGACACUGGAGAAGUCUGGAGCCAGGCUUCAUUGGUCAUAUCAUGGCAUGUCUGGCUUGUGAUCUGGACUGAGAAAUAGGGGGCUGUGGGGAAGGGAGAAGGGAGACACUGGCACCUCUUUCCCUGAGAGAAGCAGCAAGCUUUGUCACGGUGCUCAGGACAGCAGCGGGAGACGCUGCCAGCUGAACAACAUCCCUACAGGGGCAUGAACUGCUGCUCAGCCAGGCAUGGUGAGCCCUGUCUCUGCCUGGCGAGGCUUGCUGCUGACUGCAGCAAGCUCCAACCAAGGACAUCCUGUUUCUCCCCAAGAAGAGGCAAAGUACUUUCCUCAGCACAUUCCCCUUGCCCACCAUGCAGCAUCUUGUUUGCACAAGCUUCUGCUGUCUGUCUGUCCCUCUACUCUUACUAGGCAAUGCCUUUGGUUUCCUUUCUCUUACUAGCCAGGGCAAGAUUUAGCCAGGCGACUCUGGUCUAUAUGCCACUGGUUGAGCAGAAUGAAAACUCUGCUCUCAGAGUCCUCUCUGGUAUCACAGAUUGUGGCAUUCAGGAGAAGAAACUGGGAGUUUGCUCAGACAUGGCAGCUGAAAACAGGUAAACUGCAAACGAAUGAGUUAGCUUACUUUGAGAAGUUGCUGCCCCCCCCCCCCAUUUGGAAGCUGUUGCUUUGUCAGCUGAGAGGCAGAGUAGCCACGUGUGUGCCAGGCUGUUCUCUGCAAAAUAAAACAGCUGUGCUUGAACCACCUCUCUGAUCAUCUGACCAUGCCCUUUGAGUAAUUUAUGGAUAUCAAGAUGUUCUUCUGCUUGGAUCUUCCAAGUUGUUGCGGCAAGUGAAAAUAACCACCUUGUUGCCAGGGUAGAUCAUGCUCUGGUUCUUACGUAGCCACUUUCAAAUGGCCUUCAACAUCGCAAGAAGGGGAUCAGACCCUUAUUGUACAGGAACGGUUAUCCUGGAUUCCAGCAGCUGUGAGCUUCCUAAAAGACCCACUCCUGCUAUCAGUGCCUGUCCGAAUAGCCCUAGCUUGUACCAGCACUUUGCUGAAGCCACUGCAACUGCCACCUGAAUGAAAGCCUGAACACUGGUCCUUUAAUUUGCGGAAACAGAUACAAAUGAGUGCUCCAUGUUUCAUUAUCAUCUUUCUUUUUUUCUUCUUCUUCUUUACCAUUUACAUUGCAUGCAUACACUUGAGCAACUUGGCUUCAGUCUUGAUUGAAAUAUUUAAUGGAUAUUAUUCAUUGUUGGUAUUCUCUUGAUGUUGUUCUCAUUCAUUUUAAAACUGCCAAACCUUCCCAUUUUUCAAGGAUGCCUGGCCUUUUAAAUAAAGAAAGCAUUUUGAUACCUUUA